GUCUUUAUACAGCAAGUAAACUUCAUUGCUUAAAAUGGCUCGAUUCUCGUUGGUCUUAUUGGUUCUGGUCUCCGUUUUGAUCGGGUGGGCCAGCUCGCACCAGGAGUCCGGCGGUGAGUGGAGAUGUGAGUCCGACUCGGGAAUCCGAGUGCAAGCCGAGUUCAGGCCUGGACUUGUCACCCUUGAUGGCCAUGCCGACGAUUGGAAGGACAUUGAUGGCUUCGAAUUCUCUCUCCUUCCUGCUCUGGACCCGGAUGAGGAUAAAGAGUAUAAAGGUGGAAAAAUGACCGUUAAGGCCUUGCACGAUGGUAAAGAUGUGUUCUUCUUGUUGCAAGUCGAUGGGGACUAUGCCUACUCGAAAGGCAACAACAUUAAAUGCCCAUCUGUGGCCCUCAUGUUUCCAAUUGGUGACCAUGCUACCUAUCACAAUAUGGGUGGCUGUAAGGAAGGAACUAAUGCUUGCACCAACAAAACUUGCAAAGGCCAUGAAGUUGACA
rnacentral:misc_RNA from 1 species